rnacentral:rRNA from 1 species
AGUGAACGCUGGCGGUAGGCCUAACACAUGCAAGUCGAACGGCAGCACAGUAAGAGCUUGCUCUUACGGGUGGCGAGUGGCGGACGGGUGAGGAAUACAUCGGAAUCUACUUUUUCGUGGGGGAUAACGUAGGGAAACUUACGCUAAUACCGCAUACGACCUACGGGUGGAAGCAGGGGAUCUUCGGACCUUGCGCGAUUGAAUGAGCCGAUGUCGGAUUAGCUAGUUGGCGGGGUAAAGGCCCACCAAGGCGACGAUCCGUAGCUGGUCUGAGAGGAUGAUCAGCCACACUGGAACUGAGACACGGUCCAGACUCCUACGGGAGGCAGCAGUGGGGAAUAUUGGACAAUGGGCGCAAGCCUGAUCCAGCCAUACCGCGUGGGUGAAGAAGGCCUUCGGGUUGUAAAGCCCUUUUGUUGGGAAAGAAAAGCAGCAGGUUAAUACCCCGCUGUUCUGACGGUACCCAAAGAAUAAGCACCGGCUAACUUCGUGC